ACGAUCACCUCAAACAUGGCGUCUAGGCAGAACAAGUAAAUGCGUGAGGCAAACCUUUCUCAUCGAGAAGUGAUGAUGUUGGAAAUCAUUUUAGAGAAUAUGGCCAGCAUAUGUUCGGAUUUUUCCAAUAAGGACAAAAUAAAGUCUGGAUGAUGAUUGCAGAAAAAGUGUCAUAUUUGGGAGCCGCAACACGCACCAACGACGAGGUGCGUGAAAAGUUUUAUAAUUUAAAACGAGAACACAGAGCCCGAGUCUCAGCAAGAAAGCAAACAGCAAUGGAGGGGUUAUCGCAAAACCAUACGAUGACAUCCUCGAUGCCAUUGUGGGAAAGGAUACAGAGCUGGUCAAGGGGGUGAAAGGAGGCUUUGAUGUGCAUCCAUGCCUAUUGUCGUCAUGAAGCUGUAUUUUGCAUUCGAUGCUGGCAGUUGGUCAAAAAACCAUUGUUUCCUUUGAAGGUGCCAGACUCAAAAGUUAGCUUUUUACAACUAAUUUUAGCAUCUUAUUAAUCUUAAUUAAACCACUGCACUGUAAAGAUUGAGUGUGCUGGCCAGUUGUAAAGGGUCGGCAGGCUGGCCAGUUCUAACUGUUGAAUGCUCUGUUGCGCAAUGGAUAACUCUUGUCAAGCAUUCAACCACAUCUAAUUACAACACUCACUUCAUGUCCAUUCACCAUUCAAAGUUCAUAAUCCAAUGUUCACAGGUCAUUACUUACAUCAAUACUAUAAGUCUAACUUCACGUUGGCGUAAACUUUGAGCAAUACACACACUUCAAACAGCUUCCUCGCGUCUCCUGGCAGUGGACUUCCAGUCCCUAUCAGGCAGAUUAGGAAAGUGAGGAUUCUCUCGUAGUCGCCUCUUCCUACAUGUGGGGUGUCCCUGGUCACCCAUUGAUCUUGGACUGAAUCAGGGAAGUCCGCAGGUACUGAAACUAUUAUACCCCCACACACACACGCGCGCGGCCUUGUGUUUAGGCCAGAGUGUCCCGUGUCACUGGUCAGAUUAUGGGCCACACCUUGACCAUCCUGUCCUGUCAUUAGCCGGAGCGUUGCCAACUUGACCAGUGCACUUUUGGUGGUCUAAAUCUAACUAAACAUUGCUAAAAGUAGAAAAUACGUUUUCUACAACAUCCCUUUCUCUGGGAGAAACAAAUUGUGACUGAUAAGAACAAUUUCUUCAAAAUCAAAAACUAUGCAUACUAAACAAGACAUAAAAUGAAUUAGCACAAUUCAAUUACAUCAAAACAGUAACCAAAAUCAUUAACAUAUGCAUCAAUCUCAGUAAGCAAAGCAACCAGAAAUUAUUAAAGCAUUGAAUUUUCAUCAGAAAAGUCAGUCUUUCCAUGUCUCCUACUUGUCUUAUGCACUAUAGGCAUGAUUAUACACUAUAUAAAUCGCACAUUUAUUGUUAUUCCUUUCAUGCUGUGUCAGCAUUUAAAUGAAAGAUAACCAACAAAAUUGUAUACCAAGAUAAUCUUUUUACUUUGAAACCGAAAAACGAAACUUAAUUGCUGGUUCAGCUGUUGGAUAAUCUGUAAAAGUACCCAAAAUUGCUGCAAACACAUUUCACUCUGCCUGAAAUUGGGGUUAACAUAUAUAGAUGACUAUGUGUGACGAACGAGGCGGGGCAGAGGGAUGGAGCUAACCCGCCCGAGGGGAAAGGGGUCACUUUAGCUGGUUCACUCCACCCGACUUUCGCCGUCACAUUCUGUCACACGUCCGCACGCGUACUAACAGUCACACUCACCCGCAUGCGCAAACACACCUGCAAGACAGUUGUACAAAUUAUAAAAUAAUUAUUAAAACAAAAGCAAAAUUAGGUUGACAUGAGAUCAGAUAUGAAAUUGAACAUGCAUAUAACUACUUAAACCGGCCCGGCAUCAGCGCCGGUAAUCGAUGGUUACAGAAUAAAGGUUUAGAAGAUAAUUAGUUGAUACAUCAAUAUCUAUACAUACGUCCGGACACUCUGUCCGUUCUGGACCUACUGUUCACAGUCGUGGAAUCUGGUAUGUCUUACAAAUUUUUUAUGAAAAUGUACACUGCAGCAUCCCUGCAUAUGAUCUCAGGAAAGAACUAGCAAUUCACUGUAAAGACAUUACCAGGCAGAACGAAGAAGUUUUAUAUCCAUGUCCAUAACACUGCUAAACAAGGCAUGACAAAUAUGUGCGUGUGUGGAGGAGGUUAGGCACAAAUUUAUGCUCAAGUGGAUUUUUGUUGUUACCAUUUCAAUAUUAAAUGUUGAACUUUUAUAUAAAUACUAAUCUUUUGAUGCUUGUAAUGUCAUAUAGUUUUACAUGGUUUGCAUACUAUAGAAGCUGAACAUAUAUACAUUUCUCCAGGGAGAAAAUAAAGUUGUACAAAAUUACAACAUGCUAAUUUAUGACUUCUUUUACCUUUAAGAUUCUAGCUCUCUGCAAAACAUCAUGCCCUGUAAGUGUGAGAACGUCCAGGUCGUUCUGUGUUUCAGGCAAUGUGCAGCCAACUGCAUCCAACGUAGAUUGGUCGCAUCUGCUCAUCAGCCUUAUGUCUUACAAAUUUCUUAUACAAAUGUACACUGCAGCAUCCCUGAAUAUGGUCUCAGGAAAGAACUAGCAAUUCACUGUAAAGACAUUACCAGGCAGAACGAAGAAGUUUUAUAUCCAUGUCCAUAACACUGCUAAACAAUGCUUGACAAAUAUGUGCAUGUGCAGAGGAGGUUAGGCACAAAUUUAUGCUCAAGUGGAUUUUUUUUGGUUACCAUUUGAAUAUUAAAUGUUGAACAUUUAUAUAAAUACUAAUCUUUUGAUGCUUGUAAUGUCACAUAGUUUUUUUAAUGCUUUGCAUACUAUGGAAGCUGAAUAGAUAAACAUUUCUCCUGGGAGAAAAAGUUGCAUCAAAAUUACAUGCUAAUUUAUGACUUCUUUUACCUUUAAGAUUCUAGCUCUCUGCAAAGCAUCCUGCUGUAUGAGAACGUCCAAGUCGUUCUGUGUUUCAGCCAACUCUAUCCAAUGUAAUUACUCGACAAAAAAUUCUUUUUAUCUAGUCAAAUACACGUAAUUUUAAUUUUGUAAACUUGAGUUCUGAUGUUCCUAAGGGGAUGUAACCUUCAUUUGGUGGAAAGGCAAAUUUAUAGUCGAUUACUUCCCUUACACUUUCCCAUCGUUAUCUUAUUUGGUGAACUGUAUGGAAGGGGGAGGAUCGGGCACAAUGCCGCUAAUGAACUGCCUUCGAUGAACAGGGUGAUGGGGAUAUUGGAGUUUGUUUUUGUUUUUUUUACUAUUUUUCAAACAUCUUCAACAUCGAUUGAAGUAGGUUUAGGGUAAAUUUUCUCUCCCAUAGACAGGAGCAUGACCGUCAGCCAUGUUGAACAUCGCUCACCCCUCGCAACUCGGGAUAUUGGAGUUUUUGUUGUGUUUCUUUUGCAUCGGUUACAAUGAGUGUUUGGCUAGGGUAAGCAGACGACAGAAGAAGUGAGGUCACAGUCUCAGCAUAGCUUUGUAAUACCCAUCAACUGUUACUCUAUAAGAAAGCUGUACAUUUAUUUAUUUAAAGCUAGGACAAUGUAGUCUUCAAUACAGUCUGCUGUAACAUGAACAUAGGAUUGUGCAUGUGAAAUUUAAUCAAGCAUAGGUGGCGUGUUAGAAAAGGUUCUGAAUGUGCCUUGGAUAAAACGUACAUAUAUUUAGUAUGCAAAUAUUAUAAUGCUCUCUCUAUGUAUAAAUAUAUUUGCUAGCAGACGAACACAUAUUCAAUCUAACCUGUAAGUGCCCUUGUGGAUUAGCAAAGUUGUAUUGAACUGUAUUGUACACAAAAAGACAACAGGCAAAGUUUUGAAUGUGUAAUGUGAAGAUUUAUUCCUUCAGCUUUAAAAAAAAUGCGUAUACAUGUAGUUGUCUUCUUUAUGAAGGUAUAAUACUAAGUUUUUCAUGCUGAUUUGAGAGAUAAAUAUGAUCAUUAUACUCAAAUACAGAACUGGAAUCUAAAUUUUGCAUGUUAAGUGCAUUCUUAUAUUAUUGUUUGAUUGUAGUACGUGUAAAAGUUGUGUAUAUCAUAAGUAUGGAUAAAUGUAUAUGUUAUUGAUAAAUAUACUGUGUAUAGACAUACAAUUGUUUUCUAUGAAGACCAAAUAUGAAAUCUCAUGUAUUUAUUAAGAAAGUUAUAUUUAUGAAGAAAUUGUUUUACAUAAAUGAAAACAAGUCCUUUAAUUGUCAGAAGCAUAACUGAUAAUGUAUUUUCCUCUGCUUUGGACUGUUACUAAAUUUAAUAAUAAAAGUAUGUUUGUCACACUGGUCCAGACAGUAUUUUUGAAAUGCUACUUUCAUGCCUAGUACUUCUUCAUUGAUGACGAAAAAAGAUGUUAAUAAAAUUAAUGAAAUUUUA